rnacentral:tRNA from 2 species
GGGCGCUUAACUCAGCGGCAGAGUGCCAUCCUCACACGGUGGAAGUCGACAGUUCGAAUCUGUCAGCGCCCA